rnacentral:rRNA from 1 species
GUCGAACGCUGGCGGCGUGCCUAAUACAUGCAAGUCGAACGCAGUGGGGACGGGUGAGUAACACGUGGGUAUCCACCCAUCAGAGGGGGUAAAACUUGGAAACAGGUGCUAAACCGAUAUUGAUGGAUGGACCCGCGGUGCAUUAACCAGUAGGUGGGGUAACGGCUCACCAAGGCCACGAUGCAUAGCUGACCUGAGCGGGGGAUCGGCAACACUGGUACUGAGACCCGGGCCAGACUCCUACGGGAGGCCGCAGUAGGGAAGCUUUAGCAAUUGACUGAAGUCUGACCGAGCCAGGCCGCGUGAGUGAAGAAGGUUUUCGGAUCGUAAAACUCUUUAGUGGUAGAAGCGGUAACUAACCAGAAAGCCACGGCUAACUACGUGCCAGCAGCCGCGGUAAUAC